UACGAAGGACCCGAGCGUUAUCCGGAUUUAUUGGGUUUAAAGGGUGCGUAGGCGGAUCAGUAAGUCAGUGGUGAAAGCCCAUCGCUUAACGGUGGAACUGCCAUUGAUAUUGCUGGUCUUGAGUAUGGUUGAGGUGGGCGGAAUGUGUCAUGUAGCGGUGAAAUGCUUAGAUAUGACACAGAACACCAAUUGCGAAGGCAGCUCGCUAAACCAUAACUGACGCUGAUGCACGAAAGCGUGGGGAGCAAACAGG
rnacentral:rRNA from 1 species